rnacentral:rRNA from 1 species
UACAGAGGUGGCAAGCGUUGUUCGGAAUUACUGGGCAUAAAGGGCGCGUAGGCGGCCUUCUAAGUCAGACGUGAAAUCCCCCGGCUUAACCUGGGAACUGCGUCUGAUACUGGGAGGCUUGAGUAUGGGAGAGGGAUGUAGAAUUCCAGGUGUAGCGGUGAAAUGCGUAGAUAUCUGGAGGAAUACCGGUGGCGAAGGCGGCAUCCUGGACCAUAACUGACGCUGAGGCGCGAAAGCUAGGGGAGCAAACGGG